GCCUACGGGUGGCUGCAGUGGGGAAUAUUGCACAAUGGGCGCAAGCCUGAUGCAGCGACGCCGCGUGGGGGAUGAAGGCCUUCGGGUUGUAAACCCCUUUCAGCAGGGAAGAAGCGAAAGUGACGGUACCUGCAGAAGAAGCGCCGGCUAACUACGUGCCAGCAGCCGCGGUAAUACGUAGGGCGCAAGCGUUGUCCGGAAUUAUUGGGCGUAAAGAGCUCGUAGGCGGUUUGUCGCGUCUGCUGUGAAAACCCGAGGCUCAACCUCGGGCCUGCAGUGGGUACGGGCAGACUAGAGUGUGGUAGGGGAGACUGGAAUUCCUGGUGUAGCGGUGGAAUGCGCAGAUAUCAGGAGGAACACCGAUGGCGAAGGCAGGUCUCUGGGCCACAACUGACGCUGAGGAGCGAAAGCGUGGGGAGCGAACAGGAUUAGAUACCCUUGUAGUCCC
rnacentral:rRNA from 1 species